GACGAACGCUGGCGGCGUGCCUAAUACAUGCAAGUCGAACGGUAAGGCCCUGCACUUGUGGCGACCUCAUGUGGCGAGCGGGUGAGUAUCACGUGAGUAACCUGCCCUUGACUUUGGGAUAACUUCUGGAAACUGGGGCGAAUAUCGCACAUGAGCUCCUUCUGCAUGGUGUGGGAUGUAAAGAUGCGGCGUUUCGGGAUGGACGCGCGGCCUAUCAGCUUGUUGGUGGGGUGGUGGCUUACCAGGGCGUCGACGGGUAGCCGGCUUGGGAGGGUGACCGGCCACAAAGGGACUGAGGAACGACCCGGACUGCUACGGGAGGCAGCAGUGGAAGAUAGUGCACGAUGGGCGGAAGGCGGAAGCAGCAACGCCGGGUGCGAGAUGACGGCUUUCGGGUAGUAACCCUCUUUCGCCUGUGACGAAGCGUGAGUGACGGUAAUGGGUAAAGAAGCACCGGCUAACUACGUG
rnacentral:rRNA from 1 species